GCUGGGCGUCGUGGCGCACACUUGUAAUCCUAGCAGCUUGGGAGGCUGAGGCAGGAGGAUCACGAGUUCAAAGCCAGCCUCAGCAACAGCUAGGCACUAAGCAACUCGGUGAGACCCUGUCUCUA
rnacentral:sRNA from 1 species